rnacentral:misc_RNA from 1 species
AAGUCGUAACAAGGUUUCCGUAGGUGAACCUGCGGAAGGAUCAUUACAGAAUAAACUUGAUGGAUUGUAGCUGGCUCUCUCGGGAGUAUGUGCACCUCCGUCAUCUUUAUAUUUCCACCUGUGCACCCUUUGUAGUUUUGAGGAUCUUUGCGCCUUCACAGGCCGUGUCGUUUUGGGGCUGCUGGCGCAAGCUGGCUUUCCCUUGGACGAGGGUUCUCAGUUCUACGUCUUAUCUAUCUAUACACGCAUGUCAAAGAAUGAAACAUCAAGGCCAUAAAACAGCCUAUAUAAACAUUAUACAACUUUCAGCAACGGAUCUCUUGGCUCUC